AAAAGCCCAAGAUUGAAAGCUGGCGUCUUCGGCGUCCGCAUUGUAAUCUCAAGAAGUGUUUUCCGCUUCGGACCAAGCCUAAGUCCCUUGGAAAAGGGCAUCGUAGAGGGUGAAAAUCCCGUACAUGGUUUGGAGCGCCCGGAGCUUUGUGAUACGCUUUCUAAGAGUCGAGUUGUUUGGGAAUGCAGCUCAAAAUGGGUGGUAAAUGCCAUCUAAGGCUAAAUAUUGGGGAGAGACCGAUAGCGAACAAGUACAGUGAUGGAAAGAUGAAAAGAACUUUGAAAAGAGAGUUAAACAGUACGUGAAAUUGCCAAAAGGGAAGGGUAGGAGGUCAGAGAUGCGGUCUGGGAUUCAGCCUUGCUUUUGCUUGGUGUUUUUCCCAGUUUGCAGGCCAACGUCGGUUUUGGGCACUGGAGAAGGGUGGGAGGAACGUGGCACUCUUCGGAGUGUGUUAUAGCCUCCUACUGGAUACAGCGACCGAGACCGAGG
rnacentral:rRNA from 1 species